rnacentral:rRNA from 1 species
UACGUAGGGUGCAAGCGUUGUCCGGAAUUAUUGGGCGUAAAGAGCUCGUAGGCGGUUUGUCGCGUCUGCUGUGAAAACCCGAGGCUCAACCUCGGGCCUGCAGUGGGUACGGGCAGACUAGAGUGCGGUAGGGGAGAUUGGAAUUCCUGGUGUAGCGGUGGAAUGCGCAGAUAUCAGGAGGAACACCAAUGGCGAAGGCAGAUCUCUGGGCCGUAACUGACGCUGAGGAGCGAAAACAUGGGGAGCGAACAGG